GCAUGUAUGUCUACGUUUGUGUCCGUCUACGACUGUGACUAUGUCUGUGUGUUUGUGUUUUCGUAACCUCAAUCUGGUCAAUAGCGUAUAUAAAGAUGCACCGACGAGGAAGGACUCGAGAUUCGCCGAUGUGAAACGCCCAGUCAGCAGCACAAUCAGCUGUCACAUCCAGCCCAGAUAUGAACGAGAUCAACAUUGGCUACAUGGCGCGUGCCGUUCCUGCGCUGUGGAAUGUGGAGGGAGAUUAAAGGGUGUAAGAUUCGGUGAUUUGGCUGCCAGGGGAUGCAGGACGUCAUUAAAAACAGUAGGAGAACAAAAAAACAAGGGCUUAGAGGUAGAUUAGGGCGAACUAGGGAGCUUCGAACAGAAAGGAGGCGAAGGGCACGAUGACAAGGGAGCGCGCGAGGAAAUACACAAUGCGUUGGAAGAAGGAGGGGACGCAAAUAAUACGAAACGCACCGCAUGCGUCAGCACCAACCCAUUCAUGGCAACGCUGGCAGACACCACGCAAGCAUGUCCAUGUGUGGCAUAACACCUCGUUUAGACAAUAAAUCAUUCGCCGCAAGCAGAGGUUGUUUGUACGCGUUUUUUGUAUGCGUGUGUGCAGUAGUGUUUGUCAUGGCCGCAAGAGAGUCUAGCGCAUGGCCUGUUGCUGACCACGCCACAUCUCCACAUUCCUUCCUUAAUCGUCGUCUUUGUACUGGUACAGUCUUUCACAAUCCUUGCCUAUGCAGAGAUCGUCUUCGCAUUUCGUCCUGCUUUGUUGCCUCCGUCUAAUUGAAACUAAAUUGCUACAAGAAGCGCAAGGAAUACGAGAUAAGCGAUUCAGGCAGCCUACCGCGUCUAAAACAGAAGAGUAAAAUUAAUCCCACAGUCUCCCAUACUCCAGCACCCCUUCUCCCCCUUCCCCCCUCCAGCCCCUGCCUCUGCCCCUCCCCCGCUUAGCACGGCUUGCAACGCCGCCGUGACCAUAAGCGGCGCUCGGCCGCGGUGACGCCCCAUAUGUAUGUAUGUACGGCGCGGCAUAGCGGGAUGCGCCCUGCCCGACCAUCCUCACUAGUGACCCACACAUCGCAAUGCCGUUGUUUCUGCGCCCCAUUUCAGCACUCCAUUUUUAUCCUACGAGAUUAGGGAGAGAUCCUUUUGAGCGGGAGAGGUUAAGGUGCUAGUGGAAGGGGGGAUGAGGAGGAACUUGCCCUCUCUAGAAGAAUGUUAUGAUUCCUUCUACGAUGCCAUCAAGCGUCGGCGCGGAAAAUUUAAAACCGGGAGUUAUAUCGCUUUCGCGCGGUGUAAAGGCUCAUUUUGCCAUUUUCAUUAUUCACGAGAUGUUGCGAUUUUAAUGUACGGUGCAUAUUAAUGUCACCUUUUUAACAUCAGUCUCUCUUAAGCAGCGCGUUUCAUCUUGGAUAAUCCAUCUUCUUCCACUCUUGAUCGUGAUUCAGUGCGUGAUAUUUGCAUUUAAUCAACGCAAACAGGGAUGAAUCAGUUAUUUACAUAUAAACUGAAAUGUAAACUAAUACGAUUGUGUCCAAACUGAUCGGUGUGUCUGGUCCGUAACAUUUAUUUAUACAUGUUUUUUUUUUUUUUACAUCUACAAUAACAUAAUACAUAUAAUCCAAACGUUUUUAUAAACACUGAUGCUCAAACAUCUAUGAUAACACAUGGUUAGUUCUGCCACUUAUUCAUCAACAGAACAAUAGAACCUUUGUACCAACCCUAUUAUUGCAACACUUUUGCAACUCAUUAUAUUCCGUGUAACACUGAUACCCACAGACAUUCGAUUCCAUACCUGCAACGGCAAGGCAACACAUCGGAUUCAGUGCAAAUGCAAAAUAUCUAUGAUCAGGCAAGGAAAAAGUACAGGCUCGGGAAGGAGAAAAUGGACCGUGCGAACUCAAUGGAUAAAAGACCCGAAGAACAAAGAAAAAAGAAAAAGACUUGUGGCUGGCGAGUAGUCGGCCUCUCCCCGCCAGGUCGUGACAAAGAGAAACUUCAUGACACUAAGACAGCAGAAAACACGGGGCUGCGACGACGGCAUGGCCAGCGUUACCAAAAGCCAAGCAGAGGAUACCACAGCGGCGGAUGAACCACUGGUACCAACGCCGAGAGCAAGCUAUGACUCAACUCUUCCACAAGGACCUGCGUUCUGUGGGGCAUGGAGCUGAAAUUUCUGUGACAGAUGGAGGGCCACCCGUCACGCUGACAACGAGGAUGACCUCCAGGACUACGUGGUUCGCCUACAAAUGCGGUCUCGUGAAGCCACGGCGACGACGGAACGCGUCUGCGCUGGACUCGGAGCCUCGAGGAGGACCUUGCGUAAAGGGAGUGAAAGUGGCCGUCCGCAUCGCUGCUUCCUUGUGAGGGAUCGUAGGAGCGGGAGAGCAACACAGGAAAUGCAGCGCCAUCGCUAUGCAAAAUCAUCAAUCACAGAAGACAUCACCCGGGCAAAGCUUUCUUCUGAACUUAAGAGAAGAAUGAUAAAGGCCUCCCCCAACCAGUAUCCCCUCCCCCUUCCCGGACAGAAUCUCUCCAAUCGCAUUUGCAUCCUCAAGCAAUGGGAAAUUUCUUGCUCAGCAAAGAUAUUCCACACGCCCGAGGAGUCUUUUCCUCUUUCAUACCUUUCUCCAUCAUAGCGUGAAUAUUUUAGGAAUUGCGGGGCUGCGCCUGCUGGCCUGUUCUCAUGAAUGUUAAGGGAAUAAACUGAUAUUUUUAUGAAGCAUAAUUUGACAAAUUGUAUAUAGAUUUAUCUGAAGCAUUUGAAGUUACGUUUCACCCUUUUACUUGCAAUAAAAAGAUGAUGCAUUAAUUCAGAAAAUCUAAUGAAAAAAUAGUCCUUGACAAGAUAACUUUUCUUUGUUUUGACUUGUUAAAGGGAAGUUUGUUUUAAACUUAAUAAUCUCUAUAACUCUUGAUCUAGUUUCGACAUUAAUAAAUAUGACCAAACUGAA